rnacentral:rRNA from 1 species
AACGAACGCUGGCGGCGCGCCUAAUACAUGCAAGUCGAGCGAGAAGACGUAGCAAUACGUUUGUAAAGCGGCGAACGGGUGAGGAAUACAUGGGUAACCUACCCUCGAGUGGGGAAUAACUAGCCGAAAGGUUAGCUAAUACCGCGUACGCUCCUUGGACUUCGGUUCAGGGAGGAAAGCGAUACCGUGGGUAUCGCGCUCUUGGAUGGGCUCAUGUCCUAUCAGCUUGUUGGUGAGGUAACGGCUCACCAAGGCUUCGACGGGUAGCUGGUCUGAGAGGACGAUCAGCCACACUGGCACUGCGACACGGGCCAGACUCCUACGGGAGGCAGCAGUAAGGAAUAUUGCGCAAUGGACGAAAGCCUGACGCAGCGACGCCGCGUGGGGGA